rnacentral:rRNA from 1 species
ACGCUCGACACCUACGGAAGGCAGCAGUGGGGAAUAUUGCACAAUGGGGGAAACCCUGAUGCAGCGACGCCGCGUGAGUGAAGAAGUAAUUCGUUAUGUAAAGCUCUAUCAGCAGGGAAGAAAGUGACGGUACCUGAGUAAGAAGCCCCGGCUAACUACGUGCAGCAGCCGCGGUAAUCUGAGGCGGGCUGGCAAGGC